GCUGGUGACCAUAGGUGCGGGGAAACACAGGUUCCCAUUCCGAACACCAACGUUAAGCCCGCGACCGCCGAUGGUAGUGCCGCCAAGAUGUGGUGCGAGAGUAGGUUAUUGCCAGGU
rnacentral:rRNA from 1 species